UACGAAGGGGGCUAGCGUUGCUCGGAAUCACUGGGCGUAAAGCGCACGUAGGCGAAUCUUUAAGUCAGGGGUGAAAUCCUGGAGCUCAACUCCAGAACUGCCUUUGAUACUGAAGAUCUUGAGUUCGGGAGAGGUGAGUGGAACUGCGAGUGUAGAGGUGAAAUUCGUAGAUAUUCGCAAGAACACCAGUGGCGAAGGCGGCUCACUGGCCCGAUACUGACGCUGAGGCACGAAAGCGUGGGGAGCAAACAGG
rnacentral:rRNA from 1 species